UACGAAGGGGGCUAGCGUUGCUCGGAAUCACUGGGCGUAAAGGGUGCGUAGGCGGGUCUUUAAGUCAGGGGUGAAAUCCUGGAGCUCAACUCCAGAACUGCCCUUGGUACUGAAGAUCUUGAGUUCGGGAGAGGUGAGUGGAACUGCGAGUGUAGAGGUGAAAUUCGUAGAUAUUCGCAAGAACACCAGUGGCGAAGGCGGCUCACUGGCCCGAUACUGACGCUGAGGCACGAAAGCGUGGGGAGUAAACAGG
rnacentral:rRNA from 1 species